CCUGUCUCAUUCUCUCCCCAAUCUCCUUGUCUCAGUCUAUCCCUAUCUGUCUUAGUCUCUCUCCAUCUUUCUCUCUAGCUCUCUCUGUCUCAGUCUCUCUCCAUCUUUCUCUCUAGCUCUCUCUCCAUCUUUCUCUCUAGCUCUCUCUGUCUCAGUCUCUCUCCAUCUUUCUCUCUAGCUCUCUCUGUCUCAGUCUCUCUCCAUCUUUCUCUCUAGCU